rnacentral:tRNA from 1 species
GCCCAGCUAGACGACAUAACGCAUCUGACUACGGAUCAGAAGGUUGGGGGUUCGAAUCCCUCCGGGCG